rnacentral:rRNA from 1 species
UUGAAGCUGGAGCUUGCUCCGGCCGAUUUAGUGGCGGACGGGUGAGUAACGCGUGGGUAACCUGCCUCAUACAGGGGGAUAGCAGUUGGAAACGACUGGUAAAACCGCAUAAGCGCACGGUAUCGCAUGAUACAGUGUGAAAACACUCCGGUGGUACAGGAUGGACCCGCGUCUGAUUAGCUGGUUGGUGAGGUAACGGCCCACCAAGGCAACGAUCAGUAGCCGGCCUGAGAGGGUGAACGGCCACAUUGGGACUGAGACACGGCCCAAACUCC